GCCUGUGACCAUGAGUUUAACGGCCGCGGUAUUUUGACCGUGCAAAGGUAGCGCAAUCACUUGUCUUUUAAAUGAAGACCUGUAUGAAUGGCAUAACGAGGGCUUAACUGUCUCCCUUUUCCAGUCAAUGAAAUUGAUCUCCCCGUGCAGAAGCGGGGAUUAAAACAUAAGACGAGAAGACCCUAUGGAGCUUUAGACAAAGAGCAGACCAUGUUAAACACACCUAAAUAAAGGACAAAACCAAUUGGCCCCUGCCCUUAUGUCUUUGGUUGGGGCGACCGCGGGGAAACAAAAAACCCCCAUGUGGACUGAAGACAUUCCUCUUCACAACCAAGAGCCACAGCUCUAAGCAACAGAACAUCUGACCAACAAGAUCCGGCACUAAGCCGAUCAACGGACCGAGUUACCCUAGGGAUAACAGCGCAAUCUCCUUUUAGAGCCCCCAUCGACAAGGAGGUUUACGACCUCGAUGUUGGAUCAGGACAUCCUAAUGGUGCAGCCGCUAUUAAGGGUUCGUUUGUUCAACGAUUAAAGUCCUAGAUGAUCUGAGUCCAAAACCG
rnacentral:rRNA from 1 species